GGCCUAUUAACUCAGUUGGUUAGAGUGUCGUGCUAAUAACGCUAAGGUCGCAGGUUAGGUUCGAGACCUGCAAAGGCCA